rnacentral:rRNA from 1 species
AGAGCGAACGCUGGCGGCAGGCCUAACACAUGCAAGUCGAGCGCCCGUAGCAAUACGGGAGCGGCAGACGGGAUAGUAACACGUGGGAACGCGCCCUUCGGUUCGGAAUAACUCAGGGAAACUUGAGCUAAUACCGAAUACGCCCUUACGGGGAAAGAUUUAUUGCCGAAGGAACGGCCCGCGUCCGAUUAGCUAGUUGGUGAGGUAAUGGCUCACCAAGGCUACGAUCGGUAGCUGGUCUGAGAGGAUGACCAGCAUCACUGGGACUGAGACACGGCCCAGACUCCUACGGGAGGCAGCAGUGGGGAAUAUUGGACAAUGGGCGCAAGCCUGAUCCAGCCAUGCCGCGUGAGUGAAGAAGGCCUUCGGGUUGUAAAGCUCUUUUGUCGGGGACGAUAAUGACGGUACCUGAAGAAUAAGCCCCGGCAAACUUCGUGCCAGCAGCCGC